GUCUAUCCAAGACAUCCAGUGCCUUAGGGCUCAGGGCUGAGACAGAGCGCGUGCCAACUGCACCUGCGCGGGGACUGAGUUCUCGGAGAAGGGACCCAAUAGGUAAAUGACUCCAGAAGGUCUUCUCCCAGCAGCCAGAAUAAGACAGGAAAUGAAGCCGCUUUAUUGACAAGAAUGGGUUUCAUUCUGGCAACCUUGAUUAACACAAGAGGAUAUUGAAAGGAUUUGAAGAAAGUUAUCCCGCUGAUUCCUUAACAAGAUGGUAAGCACUUAAAAGAUCCAAUUUCAUCUUCUUUACUACCCUGGCAGUGCUUAGACUAUAUACAGGCAUUUCAUAAGCAAUGAAGAUGAUGCACACUGACUGAAAAUAUUUUCAAAGUUGUAAAGGACCCUCUGAUUCUUAAAGCCAGGUUGGGCACAACUCAUGCAAGCAUUCAGUGGCCUCCAGAGCUCUCAGCCCAGCUGGGUGUCCUUUAGGGUAAGUAAUCAUACUUCCUGGAAGCCCACUUUCUCCAUCUGUGAAGUGGAGGCCACAGGGAAUAUCUAAUAAGUAUCUAGUGAUGAAAUUCAUGGGCGCUUGGAAAGGGCACUGUUUCAGACUGAGCAAGGCUCAGGAAGCCAGGGAGGCAUAAUCACUCCCACAGAAAUUGCAUUUGUCUCUAAGGUUUGAUCUGCCUGUAUGAAUGAGAGAAAGAAUUUAGCGUGAGGGAUAUUUAAAAUUGGAUCCUUUGUUUGCCUGAAUAAAUGCCUCAUGCAUUUUUGAGUUUGAUUUCCUGUUUUGUUUAUCUCCAGAAGAAAAGAAAAUAAGGCAGAAAAUUCUCCAGCAGAGCUGAGGCAAGAAGUGCUCAUAUUUAAAAUCCCAUUUGCUUGCCUAGCCCCUUGGUGACCUCUGUGCUGUGGGUAACAUUCACUGCCUCCAGGAAAGCCGAGGUCGGUGGGUGCAGUGGGUAGGCGGGAAUGCUGGUGGGUGAGCACCUCUUUCCCUCAUCAUCUACCAUCCAUCAGAGGCCUGUCUCCCCUGAUUCUUAUCUGACACUCAUUUGCACUGCUUGGAGAGAAGGUGCAAGGAACUAGGAGAAGAUGCUCAAAAAAACACGGAUCAGGAAGAUGACUGCAGCAUUGGAGAAACCAGGCAUUGAUUUUGUGGACCUCUGGGGAAGAGCUCUUGGGUGCUCUUACAAGGAUGACGAGGGCUGUGUUGAUCUUGGGAGAUGCCACUAAGGGGUUAGGGGUCAAAAGAAUUAAAUUGCAGAGGCUUAGGUGUCAAAAUAAAGAGGAACCAAGAAACAAAAUCAUGCAGAGCUUUCCAAACUACACUCUUAGCAUUUAGUCUUAGCCUUCCGUUAAAACAGCUAAGACAAGGCACAUACCACUGCAUUAUAAACCUGUUGUAGCAGUCAUGACCAUUUCACGGAGUAAUACCAACUUGCCAAAAGGAUUGACUCAGAGUUAAAUAGUGAAGGGAGGGAAGUGGCUAUCUUUUGACUCUAUAACAUAUUCGUCUUAAUAUCAUGAUGUUAUCUUUGAAAUUCUUAAAUUUCAAUAAUAUCAUUAUAGUGACAAUUUUAUGAGUUGGGUGUUGGAUUCUCACAAUCACUGAAAGGUUUAGUUGGGUGACUUUAGCUCUUUUUGGCAGCAGUUUAACAAUAGUAACUAUGUCGCUUUACUAUUUAAGAUAUUUCCUGAACACUAGCUCACUUCUUAACAACUUGGUGAGAUUGUUUUUCUGACUUUCCCACUUUACAGCUGAGGAAACUGAGGCUCAGGGAAAGAGAACUGGCACUUGCUUUUGACCCCAAAUCCUGGCUCUCCUGGCUGCUCUGUGAAAUCCUAAAUCAUGGUAACCCUGGAUACCACCAUACCAGCUUUGGUUGCAUGAUAGAAUUAAGGCCAAUAGCAUCUAUGCUGCAGUGAAGGCAUGGAUGGGAAACUCGCAGUGAAGGAGAGUGUAAUUCAUUGAAAUGACAAAUACAUUGCAUCUGUGCUAUAAACUAUGACUGAAAUGCUUCCUGCUCUCCUUAAGGAAGUGAAUAAGGUAAGCAAAGCUCUGUUUACCACAUGGGAAAGCACCUUCACAAAAACCCAGGCCUGGACUCAGCCCCUGGUUCUGUGCACAGUGCUAAACCCAACGGGAUUUCCAGUGACUCCUAGAUGAAGCAGACAUUAUUUCGCUCUACAGUCUCUUCCCUAUGCUCACAAACCAGCCUCUAGGAACUUAUCCCCCACUAGCCAGUUCACAUUUUUCAUAUGAACUCUGAGGGAUAUUUUUAAAAAUCGACUGAGGCAGACUGGGUUCCCAUAAGAAAAAUGGCUCAUGGUGGAGAUCCUGUUUGGUCCCCAGGUCCUGCAGCAUCAGCACUAAUGGGACUUUGAUCUGGAGUGCGUGUCUUCACCCUCUUUGCUGUUUUUAUUGACACUGUGCAGUAAGAGCAGUGCAAUUUCCUCCCAUUUCAGCUCUGGGUUUUCUGAGACAGAACUGGAGGGAAAUUGAGCUGUGACUGAUGGAAAAUACAAUGGCUUUGAGUCAGGAUGUGUCAGGUAGAGCUCCCUAUGGUAAAUCUAGCCUAAAUCUGUCCAAACAGGCUUGCUCUUAUAUUGCCACUUGGGGUUGAUUUUUCUUUAAAUAAAAAGUACAAAAUUUGCAUAGAACUCCUUUUCUCUCCCUUUCCUCUCUUCUCCUCUCCUCCUUUCCUUUCAUUGCCUUCUUUAUUUCUUUCUCCCUUUCAUUCUUUCUCUUUGCCUUUCUGCCUUUUUAUCUUCCCUUCUCUCUUAUGCUCUUUCUCUCUCUUCCUCCUUCCUUCUAUCCUUCCUUCCUUCCUCUCCCCUCUCUCAUGCCUUCCUUUCUUUGAUCACAUUGGCUAAUAUAUAAAAGUUAUGUUAAAGAUUAAUUCCAAGGUCAGUUUUUAUUUUAUUUACUUAUUUAUUUAUGUAAAGAAAUGGGGUCUCCCUGUGUUGCCCAGGCUGGUCUUGAACUCCAAGACUCCAGUGAUCCUCCCACCCUGGCCUCCCCAACUGCUAGGAUUACAGGCAUGAGCUACCACACCCAGCCCCAAGGUCAGCUUUUAGAUCUGUUCUCAAAGCUUUCCUAAAACUGAGACAGUGGUUCCUUACAUUAAUGAAUUGCGUAAUUAAGCCCCUCUGUCUGCAGGAAUCGUGAGACUACUCCGACAGCUAGACGUUGCUUUUGGCUGAGGUGGAGGCAGAAAGAACAGCACAGUGCCAGCCCCACAAGCAGGAGCUGCUAAGGCAGGGACAAACUUGGAGAAGGUGCUGCCAAGCCUUGUGGGGAGGCCCAGGACACAUUCUCCCCUGGGUACCAUUGGAGGACUUCUUGUAAAUCUCCAGGUUAUGGUAGAUGAGGAUGCCAGGUGCCAACUCUCAGAUGAACCAGCAGAUUGGGGCUGUAGGUCAGAGAUUUUGCUAAAGGUUAAUGAAAUCUCCUUGGGAUGGUGGCAGUUGGAGGAAUGGACUCACCUUUUCCCAUGAGCAGGAUGUUUAUCAUACUAAACACCAACGACUAACUGUUAUGUAAACCUUCUGUGAGGGGAUCCUGUUUAGACUUUGUUCAACAGGAUUUAUUUCUGACUCAUUAGUGGAAAGACUUAUGUUUGUUUUUGUUUUUUUUCACCUAAAAUUACUAUCAUUGUAUAAUUUACAAUAUACACAGGCUUUUUCUUUUAUUUUGUCUUAAUAAAUCUUCAAAAUAAUCCUGUGAAA